AGACCGAGCCAACUGGUGUCGCGAGGAGAGGAUAAAAAGGAAGGAGGGGGAUUGUGCAUUCUCGGUGCUCUCGACAGAGAAGAAAGUCGACGUCGAUUUCACCGCAUUACGGGACUCGGAUUGGAACACGUCAAAAGUGGAAUGGCUCGAUAUCGAAAAAAGAGGAAAAGGAGGAAAGAAAAAAAGAGACGGCAGAGAAGAAACGUUCGCUCGACACAAUAAAACCUGUUCCCUCCCCUACUACUACUGCGUAGUAGCUACCUGUCAGUUUCAUUUCAGCAAAAGUGAACAAUCUUUUAAAUCAAAAGAUAAAACCAGUCGAUCGACUCGCAAACACGCCGCACAGUAUACCAGCCAUAUAACACUUAUGCUAAUCGACGUGCAUCGCGAGGCGUUCAAGGCGCUCCGGAACUUCCUACGAGAUUGGGAUUUUCGAUCGGAAGAUAACGUACGAUUUGCCUAAUACACCAUUGGAGAAUAACGUGGCCGAGGUUACACGAAGAUCAGGCGUCGAGUAAUUUCUAACUGAGACCGUACUGCUAACCAACAAUAUCAUUUACUAGCGUUCCUGCACGGUUCUUCGUCAAUCGGAGAAAUUUCGAAGAAAGCCUCGAUAAUUCGCUGCUAUGUAUUUCGAUUGGGCUCUCCGGGAUCUCCGCACGUGAUGCUCGUACGAUUUGAUAAAUUUAAUAUCG